GACGAACGCUGGCGGCGUGCCUAAUACAUGCAAGUAGGACGCAGUUGCGAACGGGUGAGUAACGCGUAGGGAACUACCUAUUAGAGGGGGAUAACUAUUGGCAACGAUAGCUAAUACCGCAUACUAGUAGCUGGACCUGUGUUGUAUUAGCUAGUAGGUAGGGUAAGGGCCUAACUAGGCAAUGAUAAAUAGCCGACCGUAGAGUGUGAACGGCCACAUUGGGACUGAGACACGGCCCAGCCGCCUACGGGAGGCAGCAGUAGGGAAUCUUCGGCAAUGGGGGGAAGCCCGACCGAGCAACGCCGCGUGAGUGAAGAAGGUUUUCGGAUCGUAAAGCUCUGUUGUUAAGGAAGCGGUACUUAACCAGAAAGGGACGGCUAACUACGUGCCAGCAGCCGCGGUAAUUC
rnacentral:rRNA from 1 species